rnacentral:rRNA from 1 species
GACGAACGCUGGCGGCGUGCCUAACACAUGCAAGUCGAGCGAGAAAGUCCCUUCGGGGGCGAGUACAGCGGCGAACGGGUGAGUAACACGUGGGCGAACCUGCCCCAACGGAGGCGGGACGAACCUCGGGAAACCGGGGCGUAAUACCGCAUGACCCGCCACGGCUCAAGCCGUGUCGGCAAAAGGUACGCUUCGGCCUCCGCCUUGGGAUGGGCCCGGCGGCGCAUUAGCUUGUUGGUGAGGGUAACGGCCCACCAAGGCGACGAUGCGUAGCUGGUCUGAGAGGACGAUCAGCCACACUGGGACUGAGACACGGCCCAGACUCCUACGGGAGGCAGCAGUGGGGAAUCUUGCGCAAUGGGCGAAAGCCUGACGCAGCAACGCCGCGUGAGGGACGACGGCCCUC